AUUAUCAGCUAAAGCUAGUCCUAUCAGAUUCCAUGACUUACAGCAUUGCUUGUGUAUUCCAUUGGCCUCGUAACACAGUAUUGGUCUGUGAGCAUUAUCAGCUAAAGCUAGUCCUAUCAGAUUCCAUGACUUACAGUCUUCAAUAUAGUGUUAUUUGUUUAUCUGACUAAAGGACAUUCUGAUACAGUGAAAACAACUUCGCCAACAGGUUGAAGAAAAUAAGGCUAAAUCCGAUAAGCGGUAAACUCCUAUAUGAAAUAGCACAAUACAGCAACCAUUUUCACAAAUAUUUCCACGUCAUUGGUAAAAUACACACUGAGAAGAUUUCUUAAACAUUAUUUCAUAUUAUGGAAACGGUUCCAGUUUUUGCUUAUACGCCACUUAGAAAACAAUUGAACUACACAAUUUAGUCUUUUGUUUCCGUAAAUAUUAAUCUCCAAUUUAUAACCAUGGACUCAAAUACACUAGAUGUAAUCAUGAGGCAUACCUAAAUCACACAGAGGACUUGUGUGAUAUAGAAUGCCAACAAAACAAUGUAGAUCGCAAACGAACUACACCCUCAGUUAGAAAAGCGAGUAGAUCUGCCAUUGACACCACUCAGCCCUGCUGUAGGCCUACCCUCCUGCAUAGGUGGCCAGUUUGGUCUAACUAUGGUGCCUUGAUUAAAUCACACUGAAUCCUUACAUACCUCACUCUCAGUUUAGGUCUGUAUGAAAAGACACAUCAAACGAUAUCCCCUCCGUCAUAAACAUACAUCUGUUGUUUAGCAUGAAAUGGACACAGUCUCUCUAGGAAACAAUCCAUGCAUGCAAACAGAAGGCUACCCUUUUCAAACGGGAAAAACAUAUAUUUAGCUUGAACGUACUUAGAAGAAGUAAAUCUGAUAAGAUAAAACACUAAAACAUGCCUGACCUACAGUGUCUAACAAAGUGUGAAACAUGACCUAAACGUGAUCUAACGGACCAGAUAACCGCCCAGAAAUAGUAGCCUACAAUAUGUGACGUUGAUGAAAUUAUGCUAGUCUAGAAGUUUCCACGAAGUACAGAGAAGGAUAGUAACGGCCAUUUUGAAAGACACACAGCCAAUGUAAACCUAGAUGAAGCCAGGAAAGACGAGGAUUGAGGAACUGUAGAAGCUCCUGAAGGAAAACAAACUUGAGGACAAAACCGAGAAACACUCUUUUUGGAAACAAAAGAAAAAACAACCAUAGCAUUUUAUUGGUUUGAUGGUAAAUGUCCACGAUGGCAUUCAAAACGGCAUCAUUGCUUAUUUUUCG
rnacentral:lncRNA from 13 species